UGGAAGAUGAGGAGAACAAUGUGUCUAUGU
rnacentral:piRNA from 1 species